rnacentral:lncRNA from 1 species
UUCCCAUAUAUUCAAUAGCUGGUGUGUAUUUCAUUCUCAGAGCUCAUCUCAGCUUGGACCAGACACAUUUCGAGUGCUUGGUAGCCUCAGUGACCAGUGGCUGCUUCACUGGAGAGUACCAGUUCCAGAUCAUCUGGGUCUUUUACAUGCAUCGUUGGAUUGCAGUCUCAAGCCUGGGAUUCCAACGGAAUUAACGUCCAUUGAAAACUUACUGUGCUCAAGGCACAGAACGGGGUAGUUUUAUACACAUUCUCCCAUUUGGAUUUUUCAAAGACAACAUCUAAUCAUCCCCAGAGAAAUUUCAGCUGAGAAGACAGGAUGAUGAAGUGCCCUGGGGGCCAGAGUCCAGACAAGUAUUUUGGCACCUCCAAGGACUCGCAGAACACAGAGAGGAAAAGAGAGACCCUGUUAUCUUUCCGCAGGGGUGGCCGUUCAAACUCUCAGAGAUGGAAGUUAAGAUUUCCUUUGGUAUAAGUGGCAGUUUGACUGGCUGCAAGGAGAGCCUCAGUUUGUUUAAUUUGGAGUAAAAUUUUAUGAGUUAAUCUCUAGUGAGGGAAAGCAGCAGUAAACACAGAACAUACUGGUCAUUA